rnacentral:rRNA from 1 species
GUCUACUCUUGGACAGCCUUCUGAAAGGAAGAUUAAUACAAGAUGGCAUCAUGAGUCCGCAUGUUCACAUGAUUAAAGGUAUUCCGGUAGACGAUGGGGAUGCGUUCCAUUAGAUAGUAGGCGGGGUAACGGCCCACCUAGUCUUCGAUGGGUAGGGGUUCUGAGAGGAAGGUCCCCCACAUUGGAACUGAGACACGGUCCAAACUCCUACGGGAGGCAGCAGUGAGGAAUAUUGGUCAAUGGGCGAGAGCCUGAACCAGCCAAGUAGCGUGAAGGAUGACUGCCCUAUGGGUUGUAAACUUCUUUUAUAAAGGAAUAAAGUCGGGUAUGGAUACCCGUAUGCAUGUACUUUAGAAUAAGGAUCGGC